UUUUUUUUUUUUUUUUUUUUUGAGAGGGAGUCUUGCUCUGUCGCCCAGGCUGGAGUGCAGUGGCAUGAUCUCAGCUCACUACAAGCUCUGCCUCGCGGGUUCACACCAUUCUCCCGCCUCAGCUUCCCGAGUAGCUGGGAAUACAGGUGCCCGCCACCACACCUGGCUAAUUUUGUUUUUGAAUUUUUAGUAGAGAAGGGGUUUCACUGUGUUAGCCAGGAUGGUCUCAAUCUCCUGACCUCGUGAUCCAUCCGCCUCGGCCUCCCAAUACUGCUGGGAUUACAGGCUGAGGUGGGUGGAUCACUUGAGGCCAGGAGUUUAGGACCAGCCUAGGCUAAUAAAAGAAAUUAGCCAGGUGUGGUGGUGCACACCUGUAGUCCCAGCUACUCAGGAGGCUGAGGCAGGAGGAUCACUUAAGCCCAGGGGUCAAGGCUGCAGUGAGCUGUGAUGACAUCAGUGCAUCAGUGCAUUCCAGCCUGGGCGACAGAGUGAGACCCUGUCUCU
rnacentral:lncRNA from 10 species